rnacentral:misc_RNA from 1 species
CCGUGAUGCAACCGUGAUGUGUUGCUUGUGAAAAACAUUGAGGUCAUCGACAGGAAGUGCGUGCGGGAUUGUUGUGUUGAGGGUUGAGCGAAAAAACACAAACAAAAUAACUCUUUGUUUCUGUUUAUUACCAUUCCGAAUAUUGGUAGAGCAACUGUUUCUGCGUGGAAUAAAGAAACAUUAAAAAGCAAAGGUCAAAAUAUACAGGCAAAUACUCUAAUUUGCCUUCAACAGAGAAGUAAGAACGAAGGAAAACUGCUGUCACGGAAAGAAGGUUAUGUUUCCAAGAUGCAACAACUGAAGUGGUUAAGUUGUGUCGCCCUUACCUGCAUACUUCUGCCCUUGUUCGUCCAUGGAAAUGCAGAUGCUGAUAACUGCAGUAUCCGUCAAGCUCUACGCAACAGCGUCAGAAAUAAGCUGAGAGUUAGCUGUGAUGUCAAUGACAUUUGUACAGCUGUACAUUGUCAUGGAAUCUUUCUAGAAAAUAUAUUCUCCCCUGGAAUCAUUACCAAACAGAAUGAUACCAUAUGCUUUGGCACGAUAAUCAAUCACUGUGAUACACCUCUCUCCAUGGAUGUCUACUUACAGUACAAUGCCAAGAGUUACUCUCUCAAGAAGAGACUCUACAACAAAUUAAAUGUGUCAAUAUAUCAGAAUACGUAUCUCUUUAUAGAAUUGUCACAUGAUAAAGAUGUUGUACCCCAUGUGGUCACAAUUAAGGUGUCGCUUAAAAUCAACAUGGCAGGGCAUACCCUUUCAUACCCUGUGGUUCCAGAGCAUACAUACACAUUACCAUCAUGUCCUGCUGGUGCCAUGACAACACCGCCCCUUACACUUCGGCCAUGCCUUGCACCAGUGUUCGAUUCUCAUACAAGCCGACCUGAACUACCUCACCCUCAGCAGCAGCACCACCACCAUAGUGAAGAGACUCAUUCCCAAAAAAUACAAUACAUAAAAUCAGCCACCUAUGGUAAACCAUGCAAUCCUAAAUCGGCAUAUUCUUGUCACCCGAAAGAAACCUGUACUUUUAGCAAUAUAUGUGAGUGUCAGUCAGAGCUGGUGAUGAACCAAUUUUCAGGAUUCUGUGAUGUAUCUGAUGCCAAAUAUGAAAAGCCUAUACAGCCUGCAAAGCCUAGAGAGUCUAUUUCUUCUCCAGCAUCUUCCAGAUCAAUGCAUCAUCCUGACUAUUUGAUACAGAAUACUGGUGCUCCUCUCUUGACAGAAAACGUUGCGAGUUCAACAGUGAAAAAUAGUGCCCUUAUCACAGGAUUAUCUGUUGGAGCUGCUGUUCUGCUUGCUACCAUCAUCUUGGUGGCCUUCAUCAUUUGGAAACGCCAGAAGAAUCAGACCAGUCAUGUUCCAUUAAUUGACAAUGAGGAAGUUGUUAUUUAAGAGAAUAUUUGGUUGCUUUUCUUUUGUCAAAGAAUUAUUUUUGCCUUAUAAUUUUCUUCCUGCAAUUCUUUUUAAUAGCAUAUAAUUUCUAGUUAAUUGAAUGUUUUGAUUUAUAAAACUAGUAUAUGAGUGUGUGUGUGUGUGUUUGUGUGUGUUUUUGUACCCUUGUCUUGACAUUGUGCUAAUUGUAAACAACUGUGGCUGUCAUACCAGCAGUGCUGUUUAUUUGCAAUCUGCCAUGAAAACCUGUCCAGACGAAUGGAUAAUAUCACUUUGCUUGGAAACCGGUAUGGGUUGACAACAGGAAGGGCAUCCCGCUGCAGAAAUCUGCCUCAACGAAUUCCAUCUGACCCAUGCAAGCAUGG